rnacentral:rRNA from 1 species
UUAAAAUUAGUAGUUAUUAAGGAAAGUUUGUUGUUGUAUCUAUAGUUUAUAAAGUACCGUGAGGGAAUGUUCUAAUGUGUCAGGAAAGGAAGAUUGAAUGUCUGUACCUUUUGUAUUAUGGUUAGGUGAAGUUUUUUAAGUUAUUUUGAUUUCCCGAAUUAAUAAGAGUUACGGAUUAUAUUGAUAUGGGUUCGUUAAAUUGAGCUAUAUUAUGUAUUCGUAGUCGUGAUAUGUGAGUCGUUUAUUAUUAUAUCUGGUUUCCUUAGAGAUGAAUUUAGUUCAGGCCUGGUUUUUGUGGAUGUCUUCAAUUGGUGUUAUGCAUUGAUUUGAAUUUAUGAUAUGGCUGAUUUUCGCGUGGAUAAGCUCGUGGGAGGUUCUGUAAGGAUGAUGGUUAUAUAUUAUACGGAUUAUCUUCUAGGUUUUGAAUUCGCUAUGUUUGUAUUUUAGUUUGUUAUAAAAUAAAUGUUUAGUUGUUUGUUAUACUUCAGGUUGUGUAUAAGGAUGUUUCAUGUAAUUUUCGUAUUAUAGUAAUAAUUCCUGCAUUAGUAUUUAUUGUAUUGUGUUUAAAUGUUAUAGGUGUUUUAUGAAUUAUUAAAUGAAUUUGUGUAUUGUUAGUUUACAUAAAGGAACUCGGCAAAUAACACUUCCACCUGUUUAUUAAAAACAUGGCCUCUUGUGCAGUUUGAUAUAGGAGGUCGGACCUGCUCUCUGAAUUGGUUUUAGGGUUUAAAGGGCUGCAGUAUACUUGACUGUACAAAGGUAGCAUAGUAGCUUGCCUAUUAAUUGUUGGCUGGAAUGAAUGGUUUGAUGAGAUGUGAUCUGUCUCUGUGUUAUGAUAGUAGAAUUUCACUUUGUGGUGAAUAGGCCAUAAUGUUUCCGAGGGACGAAAAGACCCUAUAGAUUUUUAGCUUGUAUUAUAUGUAUUAUCAUGUUAAUGUUUAAGUGUAAUCAUAUUUAAGCAGGUUUUUACUGGGGCGGUAUUUGAAGAAGUAGAUCUUCAGAUUUUUAAUGAGAUUUACACUCACUUGUGGGUAUUGUUUUGAUCCUAUAUAUAUGGAUAAGAGGAAAUAAAUACCUUAGGGAUAACAGCGUUAUCUUCCCUGAGAGUUCUUAUCGACGGGGGGGUUUGCGACCUCGAUGUUGAAUUAGAAUUAAUCCUAUAAGUAGUCAUAUGGGUUAUUUGGUCUGUUCGACCAUUAAAUAUUCUUCAUGAUUUGAGUUUAAACCGGCGUGAGCUAGGUUGGAUUUUAUCUUCGGAAUGCUUGUUGCUCUCAUUAGUACGAAAGGAUUUUGUGAGUUAGAUAUUCUAUUGGUUUAUAUUGAGUAUUAGUAAU